AUCCAGCAAUGCCGCGUGAGUGAAGAAGGCCUUCGGGUUGUAAAGCUCUUUUGUCAGGGAAGAAACGGUGGGAGCUAAUAUCUCCUGCUAAUGACGGUACCUGAAGAAUAAGCACCGGCUAACUACGUGCCAGCAGCCGCGGUAAUACGUAGGGUGCAAGCGUUAAUCGGAAUUACUGGGCGUAAAGCGUGCGCAGGCGGUUUUGUAAGUCUGAUGUGAAAUCCCCGGGCUCAACCUGGGAAUUGCAUUGGAGACUGCAAGGCUAGAAUCUGGCAGAGGGGGGGAGAAUUCCACGUGUAGCAGUGAAAUGCGUAGAUAUGUGGAGGAACACCGAUGGCGAAGGCAGCCCCCUGGGUCAAGAUUGACGCUCAUGCACGAAAGCGUGGGGCCCAAACAGAAUGAGAUACCCUGG
rnacentral:rRNA from 1 species